ACUUUUCGACUGCUACUUUGGUUAUUUAAGUGUGUGUUCAUGCCAUGACUUCUUCAAUCAUCUUUUCGUAGCUGUCCCUCCACUGAGACUGGUCGACGGUCUCUCCAACCACCCCUGUUCAGGCAGGGCGGAGAUGUUCCCAUCUUGCAGAGGAUGAUACAUUGCCAAAUGUAUCAUCUCUCGGGAAGCAUGUCCCCGAAAACACAGAUUUGUCUCCAGGGGGCCCUAUGAUAUGCGGUCAAAGUUAACACUUUGCCUGCUGGACAUUUCUGUCUUUUGGACCCAUUGUGUCUGUUAAGAUAACAUUUACUGGAUUUCCCACAGUGAGAUCGAAAUCUAAAAAUCUCUUAGAAUUAUGGUCAUGAUAUCUUACAGUCUUGUUUAUUAUGUUGCCUGCCAACUUCUUCCUUUUGUUUAUCUGCUAUUACAACAAAUAAGGCUGCCUGCCUUAUUUGUUGUCGUAAUGACAAACAGUUCUAGUUCUCUAUGGAUAUGUUAGAAAAUCGAAGGGGGUGAUAUUAUGCCACCAGGUGUGAGUGUGAUUAGCCAUUCAAAGCCGGCAGAACAUCAAACAGCUUUUAAUGGCUAUUCACGCUCACACUUGGUGGCAUAAUAUCCACCUAUAAUAAUAAUAUCCACCUUGAAUAAAAACCUAUUCAAAUUCGCAAUUCCACUUCAUAAUAUGAGAAUUGUAACUAUGUAUGUAUAUAGUGGCCAUCGCCCUUGAGACGUGUGAGAAGUUUUGCGUUAAUUUCCACAAAAAUGAUCAAAUGCUUAACGCUAUCAGGGCAUUUGCUCUCGAUCUGUGACUCGGAUUCACUCCGAAUCGCUUGGGGACCCUCACCUCAUUGCCCCCUACUGACUUGUGACUGGUCACUGUCAAUUGUUGCCAUCUAUGCAAUGCGAUGGUAAGAAUUCACAUUCACCAGUGACUGCUUUGGUUGUUUGGAAAGUGAAAAAAAGAAUUGGUCACAGAGGAAAGACAUCCUACUGUUCCUUUUUUAGGUUAGAGUGUCCCGGUUGGAUGAGGUUGAUGGAUCACUGACUCAUCCCUGUUGAAUCCCGUCCUCUGUUUUUAUUUGUUGACAGGUAUUCCUGACAAUAAAAAAUUUAUCAUCCUCUGUCGGUCGGCCUUCGUCAUUCCUAUCAUCAUUCUGAUAAUCUUUUAUUGCUGGAGGAAAAAGAAGCAUCAUACAGAAAACCUCAAUUCUGAACAGAGUCCGAACUGUGACCAAGCUGCCGCCAUCUAUAUGAAUGAGAGUCUGUUAGGACCCCCUCCUCUCCCUUUGGAGCCCACUGACAUAGAACUCAACCCCAUAAGCACCUAGGAGGCUCUAUGGGAGAUAUUGGCUGUAGGUUUAAACUUCUGCUGCUCCUGAGAUGAACCCCGGUUACUGAGCUGACUCCAAGUGGAUCCCUUAAUAUAAUUCCAAAAUCACUUAUGUUGCUUCUUUGUCAUUUGACGCAUGCUUAUCGUCUUAGUAGAAGGGAUUGUCAUUGUUCUCGUGCAUGUCACAUCUUUAUGUUAACCCAUACAUGUGGCAUAGAGGAUUGAUUCCUGUGAUUAUACGUGGAUACAUUAAUCAAGGUUGUGUUUGUCACACAUGGCCCGAUGCAUCGGGUGUUGUGAUUGGCCAAUGAUUGUAAGAGGGAUCCAGAUGUUUUGGGAACAUAACAUGAAGCCUGAGUCCUUUGCAAACCAACUUAUGUUUUGUGCUUUUGUCUUCAUCUUUCAAACUUCAGCUUUCUCAACCUCUAUUAUUUAUGUUAAAGUGUCGUGUUUAUCCAUGAAAGCGGCUGGUUCAAUCCCUGGUUACUGUUGUAAAGGUGUCCUUGGGAAAGA